GACGAACGCUGGCGGCGUGCUUAACACAUGCAAGUCGAGCGGUAAGGCCCUUUCGGGGGUACACGAGCGGCGAACGGGUGAGUAACACGUGGGUGACCUGCCCUCAGCUCUGGGAUAUGCCUGGGAAACCGGGUCUAAUACCGGAUAUGACUCCAUGACGCAUGUUGUGGGGUGGAAAGCCUUGUGCGGCUGAGGAUGGGCCCGCGGCCUAUCAGCUUGUUGGUGGGGUGAUGGCCUACCAAGGCGACGACGGGUAGCCGGCCUGAGAGGGCGACCGGCCACACUGGGACUGAGACACGGCCCAGACUCCUACGGGAGGCAGCAGUGGGGAAUCUUGCGCAAUGGGCGAAAGCCUGACGCAGCGACGCCGCGUGAGGGAUGACGGCCU
rnacentral:rRNA from 1 species